CAUACAUUUCAGACCAAAAUGAUGAAAAGAUGAAAAUUUCAUUAAAAUUAUUGUCUUUUAUCUCAAAAGGAUUGAUACCAUCAAUAUUAAUUAGCUAUGAAUGCUUUAAUGUAAUUUAUAAAUGUAUGGGGACAUCAGUAUAAUGCAAUUAGGGAGAAUGCAUACUAUUUUUUAAAAAAUAUUAAGACAUUAUUUUUCAAUUACCUCAAACCCUAUAUACAGUUUGUUUCAUUCAAAAAUUUAUCAUGAAUUUGGAUCUAACAAACAUUGAAGUUUGCCUUAGUGCCAUGUGGGAUGAAAGAAAUUAUCAUAAAAUUGACAAAUGCAAUCCUCCAUCUAAUAACGUGCCCUGAAAAAGUCUCCAUUGGAAUAUGACAGCGUCUGAACAAUUGAUGUCUUGAAAUUACAUUCUGAACAAGAAUAGCAAUAUUAUUGACUAUGUCAUGAACUAUAUGAACAUGAAAUUGUUUCACGGAUAAACCUGAUAAUGAUGACUUAACCCUUAAUAUGUUCUGAAUUUUAAAUAUUUCAUUUUACAUUUUUCAAUUGUAAUAUUUCAAAAUGGAAAAUUUCACUCUUAUUGAAAUUUUAUUAAUGAAUUUAUGAAAAAGGUUGUCCACCUUGGGUGUCGGUCUGCUGGACAUUAUGUUACAAGUGGGUCACUCUAAUGGAUGUUGUUAAAUUUGAAUUCAAUGAUAAAAUAUUAUAAUAUCAUUAUAUAA